GGCAAACUAUGCAGUCGAGCGAGCUUGCCUAGAUGAUUUUAGUGCUUGCACUAAAUGAAACUAGAUACAAGCGAGCGCGCUGACGGGUGAGUAACACGUGGGUAACCUGCCCAAGAGACUGGGAUAACACCUGGAAACAGAUGCUAAUACCGGAUAACAACACUAGACGCAUGUCUAGAGUUUGAAAGAUGGUUCUGCUAUCACUCUUGGAUGGACCUGCGGUGCAUUAGCUAGUUGGUAAGGUAACGGCUUACCAAGGCAAUGAUGCAUAGCCGAGUUGAGAGACUGAUCGGCCACAUUGGGACUGAGACACGGCCCAAACUCCUACGGGAGGCAGCAGUAGGGAAUCUUCCACAAUGGACGAAAGUCUGAUGGAGCAACGCCGCGUGAGUGAAGAAGGGUUUCGGCUCGUAAAGCUCUGUUGGUAGUGAAGAAAGAUAGAGGUAGUAACUGGCCUUUAUUUGACGGUAAUUACUUAGAAAGUCACGGCUAACUACGUGCCAGCAGCCGCGGUAAUACGUAGGUGGCAAGCGUUGUCCGGAUUUAUUGGGCGUAAAGCGAGUGCAGGCGGUUCAAUAAGUCUGAUGUGAAAGCCUUCGGCUCAACCGGAGAAUUGCAUCAGAAACUGUUGAACUUGAGUGCAGAAGAGGAGAGUGGAACUCCAUGUGUAGCGGUGGAAUGCGUAGAUAUAUGGAAGAACACCAGUGGCGAAGGCGGCUCUCUGGUCUGCAACUGACGCUGAGGCUCGAA
rnacentral:rRNA from 1 species